rnacentral:piRNA from 1 species
UGAAUGAAUUGUUAUUUAUGUGGCCAUUGGA